AUUGAACGCUGGCGGCAUGCCUUACACAUGCAAGUCGAACGGCAGCACGGGAGCAAUCCUGGUGGCGAGUGGCGAACGGGUGAGUAAUAUAUCGGAACGUGCCCGGUCGUGGGGGAUAACGUAGCGAAAGCUACGCUAAUACCGCAUACGAUCUACGGAUGAAAGCGGGGGAUCGCAAGACCUCGCGCGAUUGGAGCGGCCGAUAUCAGAUUAGGUAGUUGGUGAGGUAAAGGCUCACCAAGCCGACGAUCUGUAGCUGGUCUGAGAGGACGACCAGCCACACUGGGACUGAGACACGGCCCAGACUCCUACGGGAGGCAGCAGUGGGGAAUUUUGGACAAUGGGCGCAAGCCUGAUCCAGCAAUGCCGCGUGCAGGAUGAAGGCCUUCGGUUGU
rnacentral:rRNA from 1 species